CAGAGCAUUGAGAUGAGGCGUGAAACCAUUAUCCGCAGCCUUAUACUGUACCUUGGUGAGAAGGAAGAGGAACUUUUUGAAGACUGCUUGGAGGACAGCCGGAGUGAUGUCAGUAACCACAUCCUCAAAAUACUCGUCGUCCAUGGUGCUGAUGAGGAUCCAGUCGAUGUCUCCAUCCUUGUUGAAGGCCAUGAGAUUUUGCCAGGGUGCAACAGUACUGCGAAAGCUUGCUCACUGCUCAUGGGACUGAUUUAUGCCCUUAACUUGGCAUACCCUCCCACUUUGCGCUACACUUUUGAAGUUUCCAAAAACUCUUGCUGGAGCUGGAUGGCUUUAAACUGUCCCCAAAAGUAAACACCCUGAAGUUGAAGUUGCUUUCCUAAAUGCAUGUCAUGACUUUGUCAUCCUAGAGGAGAAAUGUGGCAUCAUGCAUGGACCCUUGUUGAGGACGUAGCAUCAUGCAUAUGGACCCUUGUGAAGAAAUGCCAAAAAUUAGAGUUCCAGUUCAUCUUCGUUUACCAGUGGGAAGUUGCCUGUCAUAUAUGUUUUACUUUGUUUGUCAAAUAAGGUAUCUGUUAAUUACAGUAAAGAUUUUAUCCUCAUCUAGAAUGUUUAGACACUUUGAGCUGUUCAUUGUUAAUUGAACCUGUUGUUAUUUCUUGAAUGUUUUAAUUGCAUUCUUAAAAGUGCAGAAAGGUGAUAAUUCGACGUUUAUUACUGAAGUUGUGGUUGAUGGUGCUGGUCUACCAUUAUAGAGCAUUAUAUUGACAGUGUUCCUAA